UGGAUUUUGCUACAUCAUCAAUAGUGGAAGC
rnacentral:piRNA from 1 species